rnacentral:rRNA from 1 species
GACGAACGCUGGCGGCGUGCUUAACACAUGCAAGUCGAACGGAAAGGCCCUGCUUUUGUGGGGUGCUCGAGUGGCGAACGGGUGAGUAACACGUGAGUAACCUGCCCUUGACUUUGGGAUAACUUCAGGAAACUGGGGCUAAUACCGGAUAGGAGCUCCUGCUGCAUGGUGGGGGUUGGAAAGUUUCGGCGGUUGGGGAUGGACUCGCGGCUUAUCCGCUUGUUGGUGGGGUAGUGGCUUACCAAGGCUUUGACGGGUAGCCGGCCUGAGAGGGUGACCGGCCACAUUGGGCCUGAGAUACGGCCCAGACUCCUACGGGAGGCAGCAGUGGGGAAUAUUGCACAAUGGGCGGAAGCCUGAUGCAGCAACGCCGCGUGCGGGAUGACGGCCUUCGGGUUGUAAACCGCUUUCGCCUGUGACGAAGCGUGAGUGACGGUAAUGGGUAAAGAAGCACCGGCUAACUACGUG